rnacentral:lncRNA from 1 species
CUAAACAAAUCAGGUGAUAUCCAUCCAAGUUUGUUUUAUUAUCACAUGUUGUUUUUGUCAAAGAACAAGUUUAUCUUUGCCUUGGUCUGCAAUAUUGUUUAUGUAGGGCAAUUAUUUAUGACAAAAAGUGAUAUUAUACCGUGGAGGUGGAGACACGCCAACAUCUUUUGGCACAGGUGGUCGUCGUUACUCGGCGGACUCCUGCACCGGCUUACAACGCCGUGGCCAUCGCUCGCGACCGCGCUGGCUUACAAACGCCAUAGCCGUCUCUCGCGACCGCGCUGGCUUACAACACAGUGGCCGUCUUUUAUGACCGCGCCAGCUUACAAUAAGGAGGACAACUUACCCGCCCGCACCGGUUGACAGCACCACGGUUGAUUCAUCUGUCUGAGCCGCCUUUGAUGUUGCGGUCAUUUUUUACGGUCCGUCUCUUGCGGCCUGGUCUACGUCAACACACCGGGCCACAUUUUUCUAGAUGAGCUGUUUAUUGAGUAUGAGCAAGUCACUACUUGGGAAUCCCGGUCUCUCUUCCAACAGAUUGGAGGCAAAUCAUCAUAUAUUAUCAACCGCGUCUGCGCUGGAUGGCUCAAUGGAUAGGUGCACAAGUCGCCGGCACUACGGUUUGGUCAAACAGCCAGUUGGAAGGAACCAUUGGCCGAGUUGCUGACACGGUUCAUACGGGAUCAUUUAUAACCCGCCGCAAUCACCUCAACCUUCUGUGGGUAAUCAUUUUCCUAACAUAUCAGGUGAAAUCCAUCCAAUAUAUUUUAUAUUACAUAUUAUUUUCUUCAAAAGAGCAAUUACUUUGGUUUGCAAGUUGUCCCAUGCAGGAUUCAAACCGGUCUAUAUCACGGUUAAUCAUGGAGAAUCUCAAGCCAACUCCUCAAGUCGUCUUGAGACUCGGGGGCUACAAUGAUAUGACUCGGCAAAAUUAGCCAGUUUCAAUAAAUUCAAGAGCUCCGGGUCAUUGAAGGGAAAAAUAACCCGGCCCGGAGAUUACUGCUAGAUUAAUGAAAAUUUAAAAGCCAUCAGAAGAUUUCCAGCUCAAAAUAAGGAUUUUGGUUUAAAAUCUGGUUCAAGGGACAUUUUUCUCCCACAAAGCACCGAAGCUCUCAAAUCCGGUUCAAAAUCCAGCCCAAGCUCUCAAAUCCGGUUCAAAAUCCGGCUCAAGGUAAAUUUGUCCCUCACAAAUUUUUUAAAGCUUUCAAAUCCGGUUUAAAAUUCCGGUUCAAAAAGCAUUAAUCUCUCGCAAGUUCGAGUUUCUCAGAAAAGUGAAAGGUUGCCGAAAGAACUUGUUGCCAUGAUGCGCGGUUCAAACUUGAAUAUCCUGCCUUACGGCUUAUCUUAUUAUGAUCACUUGGGGGCUUCCUGCUCAUCGAGCAUAGCUAUCAAUACCCUCUUGAUCGGCGCAAUGCCAAAACUUAUAUGAUCACUUGGGGGCUUCCUGUUCAAACAUAGGUCGUAUCCGAACCAAAGAGAACAUAGCUGUCGAUACCCACUUGAUCGGCAUACUGCCAAACCUACUUGGGGGCUUCUUGAUCAUAUUUGAAUCACAGCUUAACCCCUUUGGGUCUGACGUGGAUCGUAUUCGAAUCGGCGUCAUUAAACAAAUCUUAUGGUCACUUGGGGGCUUCCUGUUCAAACAUAGGUCGUAUUCGAACCAAAGAGAACAUAGCUGUCGAUACCCACUUGAUCGGCAUCGCCAAGCCAUUAGGGGCUAUAUGAUCGUAUUCGAAUCUUAGCUUAACCCCUUUGGAACGGUUUACUGAUCGUAUCCGAAUCAGAAGCCUCAAAAAGUUUUAUUCUAUCUCUGGUAAAGUUUAUUGUAGCCACAAUUACUUAACUUGAGACCUUUUUGGGGAUUAUAUCUCAAAUGUAUAUAAGUGUUUUAUGAUUAACCCGGCUUGACUUUGACUAUAAGUCGCCAGCUUAUGACAACCAUCAUUUAUGUGGAAGCAUUGGCUUCUAAGGAUUGGGUUAUCACCCUUAUUACACAGGUCAUGUAAACCGGCAGUACAAAUUCAAUAUCACAAUGGUUAUUUGGGGGUUUUCCUGUUCAAACAUAGGUUGUAUUCGAACCAAAGAGAACAUGGCUGUCGAUACCCACUUUGAUCGGCAUAGCCAACACCACUGGGGCUAUAUGAUCGUAUUUGAAUCUUAGCUUAACCCCUUUGGGACGGUUUACUGAUCGUAUUCGAAUCAGAAGCCUCAAAAUUUUUAUCUAUUUUUAUACAAUUACAAGUAUUUGAAUUGUCACAAAUAUCAUAUGUGCCGGCUCUUACAGAAUUGAGUUAUCAACCUCACUGUCCGGGUUACAUAAGUCGGCGGUAUCAUUCGAAGGAUCAUAGGGAUCUUGUGAUCUACUUGUGUGCAGGAUAAGACUACAUUUGGGUGGUUACCCACCCUGGCUUUUGACGUUAAGUCGCCAGGGCGUAUGUUGUUUAAACUCUAUACAGGAUUUGCAGAAUUAUGACUUAUAUAAAUGCUUCAGUCCAAGCUCAUCACUAAAAUUGGUGUCUCAAAAGGGUUAUCAAUUAUUGAUUUUCUCAAGGGCUAUAGGCCACCGGCUUACAAUGAAUGCGCAUUAAGUCGUCAUCGGCCAAGAGCCGCCAGGUAUUUAAACUCUGGAUUUACUUGUCAACCGAUGAGGUAUUUACAUAUUUAAUAGCCAAAACUGGCUGGAUUUUCAUGAUGAUAUUGAAUGAUUGAGGUUUUCAUACCGGAUUAUAUUAUUCAAAUCUUUAAUAGCCAAAACAUGGUUGUAUUUUUAUUAUGGUUAUCAAUAGCCAAUAUUAUGAUGGAGGUCUUCAAAAUAGCUUCAGCGCUAUGGCUAUUAUUUUAUUAAUGGAUAUGAUUUAUUCUAUAAUGUAAGGAAUAGUCCCGAGUCGCUGCAGGCUUACGACCCGGCACUUGGGGGCUACAUUAUUCAAAUUGAGGGUACAUCAAAUAUGCAAGUCUCAUGUUGCUGCAAGCAUGCACCAUGACACUUGGGGCUAAUGCAAGGUCAUUUUUGCUCACCUCAUUGAAGACCCGACUCAUCACAUCGUAAUGAGCCGGCCCUUGGGGGCUACCAAUUGCUCCUGUCAACAAUUCAAGGUACACAAGUCUUAAUCCAUUAUAUUGAAAGGUACACUACUCAGUUGGUAGAGUACAAAGCUCUUAACCUUGUGGACGUGGGUUCAAGCCCCAUGGUGGAGAUUAUAUUAUAUGAUGUUAUUAUCAAUUAUAUACAAAGUAUCAGCUCAGUAUUAUCUUACUAAGCCGGCCCUUGGGAGCUACACAUUGUUGUUCAAGUUUACAUGGUUAUAUCUACAAAGUCCCUGCUCAUUAUUGCAUAAUGACCCGACCCUUGGGGGCUACACUGUUUGAAGUUUUCAUGAGCAUAAAGCAAUUACAAGUCCCAGGUUGCUGCAAGCAUGACAACCCAGCACUUGGGGGCUACAUGUGUGGAAUAUUCAGUUUAUAUGAUUGAGAUGAAUAAACCAGAUUUCUUCAAGGUUGCAACAUUUAUUGGAGCAAGUCUUAAACCAUUACUUUGUUCUGCUCAAGACUUGGGGGCUACAGGUAAUAUGGUAUAAGGGAGAAAAAUCUUCAAAUUAUCAGUUUUGAGCAAAUCAGGAGGAUCAAUUACAUAAACCGGUGUCUGCAGCAAUCAUAACCCAGCGUCAUCAGUAAUCAUGAACCGACAUUGGCAACAAUCAUGAACCGGCGUUCGAAAUAAUCAUGACCAGGAAUUAUCAGUUUUUAUAACCCGGUGAUUUUGUAAAUCAUAGAUCGGCAAGUUCUAUAUUUUCAAACCGGCUGAAUAUCAGAUGAGUAUUUCAAGACCAAUAUUUUUAAAGCUGGUGCUUUGGAAGCCGAUUCAAAUGGAUUAUUUGUUUACAAUACUUCCUCUAUAAGCAAAUUGAUUGUGAAGCUGGUCUAUUGACCCGGAUUUUUCUAGAAGAAGGAAAUAACAAGGACUUAAGGAUGUUCAAGGGCCGGUUUACAAGAAUUCUUAACCCGGAGCAGAACCUGUCAAAUUUGUUCUUGUGUUUAUUUUGCAGCAUAAGUUUACCAUGGAUAAAUCCAAGCUAAACUUGGGGGCUAAUGUUGGGGAUAUACCCCGCGGUGUAACCCGGUCGGAAGUAUAGCCCGGCCGGACUUGGCAGCUCACUAAUCACCUGCCCUGACUUGACGACACACUAAGUGACCCGCCCGAUCCUGGGGGCUUAUGGGUGACCUGGCAAGUGGAUCAGAGGAGCGACAAGACCCGGGGGACCAGGAAGCUCAAGGCCCAGAAGGUCGGCUUACGUUAUGAUAGGCCAGCUUAACAAGAAAGGCGUGAGGAAUAUCUCCCUUACAAGGAAUCAAGACUCGAACUUGUAUCCGGCUUGUAGUACAAGAUAGGCUAGUUCUAGUCCUACUAGGGCUCCACAUGUAACCCGCCCCUCUAACUUAUAUAAGGAGGGGCAGGGCUCCCCAAAGAGGGGAAGCAACAAGAAACAAUAUCUAGGUCUAGACAGAAAGAGGAGAGACGGCUUACGGCGACUCCCUCAUGAGCAUAAUGAGACCUCGCCUCAAACAGCAUGUAGGGCUAUUCUGGAUGAUGUUUCCCGGGGCCCGAAGCUGUCUAAAUUCUUGUCUUGUGUGUUGCGUCUCUCGUCCCGAUCAACCCCUCUCAAGCUACCGCAUAGAUGUGUUGGCCUCGCGACUAAGUCCUGACACUAAGGACAUCUGUCGUGUUAAUUCCACGACAGCGUACAAACCACAUAAGUACAUGAUCAUCUAUACUUGGAUAGCAUAACAUGAGAGUUUAGAAAUAAACACAAUGCUUGGAUAGUAUAUUAUUAACAUUCCAAUUAGAUAGAUCAUCAUGUAAAGCAACAAUUGGAAUAGCUUUAAUCAAACAAUUUUCUGAAUAUGAUUUUGAAGAUAGCCAUGGGCAAAACCGCACAAGAAUGCCAUAUGUAAAGAAGGCAUUGCAUGCCACGGAGAUAUAAGAUAAUCUCAAAUAUAUUCUAAGUGGCAUCCCAUAAUUGUUCACAUUUAACAAGGAUUGUGAUAUGUACAAAACAUAUCACUCCGCCAUAAUAUGGUGAUCCAUUAAUAUCUCAAAAGAGCCCAAUAAGAUGCAACUAAAAUGCAAUGAAGGCUCGAGACUACACACACAGAUAUAUGACAUGCAUUGCAACCUACAUAUGCUAGAUAACACAAAUCAAGCAUAUUAGGAGACACAACAUAUACAAACACAUGCUAGGUACAAAACCUAAACAUGCAUGGGGCUAGUAACUUUCAAUGUAGACAAUAUAAAUACAAGUUACCGCCACGAGGAGCAUUGGAAUGACAAAUAUGAUGAUAAUUCACUUGACUUGGUUUGAACCAUAAUGAAUGGCGAGAAUCAUUUUUCUUCAUGAACUAGCCAAAUCUCCAAUGCCCUCCACACACCUAUUGAUCAAUUUUGAACUCGAUGGUCCCCAACCACGUUGGAUCCUAAGAAGUUAGUAACAAUACGCUUGGCAACCCAAAUGGUCUUAUCCACUUCCAAACCACUUUGGGCACCAACAUACUUGGCAAACAUAUUACCAUCAAUAUCCUUCCUAAGUGAAUAAUGAUCAUUGAUAAUUGGAGGCUUAGAUAUAUUACCGUUGGGACAUGAUGAAGUUAUGUGUCCCUUCUUACGGCAAAUAUAGCAACAUGUACUCCCCCUUCUCUUCUUCUUUACUUUCUCAACUUGGGAAGUAAUAACAUGGUUUAUCAUGGAUAGUGGCCAUUCUUCAACUUGAGGUUGAACUUGAGAUUGAGCUUGAGGCCACUUCCCAUGUAGCUUCCCUUUAUAAGCCCUUUUCUUUAGUGGACAAUAUCUCACGUGAUGUCCAACCUUUUGCACUUAAAGCAAGAAAUGUUGGACUCGUUCUUGGCUUGGUCUUGCCCCGUUUUCUUGUUCAUGGAUUUCUUCUUGUUGGAGUGAAAACUAUGUCCAUCAUUGCACUUUUCCAAUUCUUUCUUCAAAUUAGUGACUUGGGCCUUGAGCUCCUUAAUUUCCUCUACAUGGUUAGUUUCAAGACUAGAAACAAGAGGAGUAGUGGAAGUAGAAACUUCAUGGUUAGAGCAACAAGACAAGGUGAGCAAUUCAUCAUGAUGUGUAUCAAUAUCAUGUAGAGAGGAAUUGCAAGGACUAGCACAUGGCAAUAAGGCAUUUUGAGUAGAAGAUGUGCUAAUAUCCACAUGAGACUCACACGAUUUUACCUUGGUGAACAUAGCCUCAUGAGCUAACUUUAGCCCAUCAUGAGAGAUUAGAAGAUCAUCAUGAGUGCCCGAGAGCUUUUCAUAACUUUCUUCCAAUUUCCCAUAAUUGCUAGUUAGCAAAUCAAGUCGAGUCCUUAGCUCAACAUUUUCUUUCAACAUUGGUGCUUCACACAAGAUAGAGUUAGUGGCACAAACAUCAUUAUCAAUAUGAGAGGAGCAUGUAGAAACUAGAGACUCCGCAUGAGUAGCUUGAAGUUCCUCAUGAGACUUAGAGAGUUUGGUGAGCUCUCCUUUGACAUUCUUGUAGCCAAGGUCAAGGUGCUCAAAAUCCUCUUUAAGUUUACAAUGAGUAACUUCAAUCUCUUCUUUUAAAGACCUCAAGUCACUAAGACAUAUGAUGAGCCUUAGCAAGUUCAUGUUCAAUUUGUUCACUUUUCGCUUGCUCGUUAAGAAAUAAGUCAUUAUGUUUUUGAAAGCGAGCAAGAACAUCUUGGAACCUUUUAUAAGUGUUAUCUUUAGCUCUAUGAAGAGUUUUCCCAAUCUCAUAGAGAUUUUGAGUCAAGUCAUCAUCAUCAUCCUCAUUACAACUAUCAUCAUUAUCACUAAGAGAAGAUGAUACCUCGUCAUUACCUCUUGCCAUGAGGCACAUGUGAACAAAGGGGUUGAUGAUGAUUCUUUUGGAGAAGAGGGUUCUUCAUCAAUCAAGCAUGCCUCAUCUUUCUUGAUUUCCUCUACAUAGUUAGUCAUAGAAAAACUAGAGGAAACCUAAGCAUUUCUAUCAUGGAAACAUGGGAGAACAAUCAUAUCAUCACAAAUGAGAUUUACACCAUCAUUACAAGAUAUUUCUUCACUCACCAUGUCAUUACCUUGUGGCACGCCACAUGUUGGUGAAGUGGAAGAUAUUGAAGUGUCCAAGUAAUUGGAGGUGGAAGCAAUAGAGAUUUCUUCAUGAUUUUAAAAUGUGGAGAACUCAUCCAUUAACUCCACGGAAAGAAUAUUGUCUUCAUCAAGAUUGGACCCACGAUAUAUAUCUUCAAGUUUGGUCCAAGCCUCAUGAUCCGACUUGCAAGUUGAGAUUUCCUUAAACACUUAGAAGGAUAUAGCUUGGUGAAUGGCACUCAAAACUUGACUAUCAAGAUGCAUAUCCUCAAGUGAUGGAGAUUGUCCAUCCUUUAGAUUUGAAUCCCCUACAACAACAAUCCGCAAAGCAUUUGGACCCAUGGCGCGAAAGUGAUAAAGCUUGUGUAAUCUCCACAUAAUGUAAUUUGUGCCAUUAAAACAAAAUGUGACAUCCUGCACUAGUUCACUAGUCGACAUCGUUACUCUCUAGGCGGUGAAGCCUAAUAAGGAGAGAUCGGGCUCUGAUACCAAUUGAUAGGACCACGAUGUCGCCUAGAGGGGGUGAAUUGGCGUUUCAAAAACUUCUACGGAUUUGGCUUAAUCCUAAUGCGGAAAUAAACUAAGAGGAUACUUUUCAAGCACAAAUCCUAAAUACACUAGGCUCAACUAAGUGCACCAACAACUUAUUAUAAAUAAGAUGAGCACAACAAGGAUACUAACAAGAACAAGUAAGUUACACAAACUUACUUGAGCAAUAUGACAAGAUAUGGAAGUGUAUGACACAAGUUAGCAAUUCACACUAAACACAAGAUAUAUCAAUAGUAGCAAGUAUGAAUUGCGGGAUAUAAAGUGUAGGCCUAAAUAAUCUCUUCAAGGAAAUAGCCAGCACAAUAUAAUGAGGACAACAAUAUAUAGUGAAUGCAAGGUCAAGAGACCAAAGUAAACCACAAGUAGUGGCUAGGGUUAGAGAUAACCGAAGACACGGAGAUGAGGAUGUAUCCCGAUGUUCACUUCCUUGGAGGGAAGCUAGUCACUGUUAGAGAGGUGGAUGUUACCACGAAGGCUCAGCCUAUUCUCCCUUUGAGACAACACCAUGAAGGCAUUUCUCAACCACUAGUGGUAGAACUUGAGGCGGCCUCCAAACCUUCACAAACUUUCCGGGAGCAAAUCACAAGUUGAUUCCUCACCGGAGCACUCCUACCGCCUAGGAGUCUCCAACCUCCAAGAGUAACAAGAUCAAGGGGGAAAUGCUCAAGACUUGCUCAAAUCACGAAUUCCUUUGGUCACAAGAGGGAUAGGGAGUGGAUCUAUCACUUGAUUGGAAAAUCUCUCAAGAACUCUCACGAAUCUCUUCGGGAUCUAAGAUUUGGUGUAUGAGAAGUGAGAGGGAGCCUUUUUGUGUUCUAGGGUUCAUAUGAAUGUGUUGCUCAACCUUCUCCCGGGGUGGAAUAAGAUUAUAUAUAGUGGUAGUGCAAAUAUGGCCGUUGGAGUGUAAGUGGUUGUGUCUGGCCGGACAUCCGGACGUUGUGAAGUGUGCACACAUGUAUGCAGAAAAACAGGUUACAUGGCCAGGACAUCUGGCCAAACUUGGGGCCCCGAACAUCCGGCCAAGGGCCGGACAUCCGGCGUAUACAAACAGCAUUUCGGUAAGGUUUCUAGACAUCUACGGCCAAACAUCUGGGCCAGGUGUCAGACUUCCGGCGAUUUCACACGAAUCAGACGCCCUCUGGAUAGCAGUGGCCGGACAUCUGGGGAAAAACCCGAACAUCCGGCUAACACAAAAACUGCACCCGCCCCGAAAGUAAAACAUGCAUAACUUUCACAUCUGAACUCCGAUUUUGAUGAUCUUGGGCUCGUUUUGAAGCUAUGGAAAAGCUCCAGGUCCUCACAUAGAGAACCACCCAAGAUAAACCAAAAUGGAUGGUGCAAAGUAUGAAAAGGUAAGAUCAUAUACUUUGGGGAACCUAUUUGGCUAUGGAUUUUCUUUGGUAGAUGUGUAGGCAUUUUGUAUUUGCAUUGGAUAGGAGUGAAAUAUGCCUAUGUUGGAAUAUGAUGUGAUAAGAAUAGAAAUAGAUGAUGUUGACUUGAGAAAAUCCAUCACUAACCCCUUUGAUCCCCUCUUAAUAGUGCGGGAACCCUAUAACUCAAGAAUCAUAAAAGAACUAUACUAGAUAGCUUCUGAAAACUCAUUAUUGAGCAUACAUCCUUUUCGAUGGUCAUCGAUCCUCAAUUCUAAAGCUAAAGGAACUAAUACCUUUGACUAGAGCCUUUCACUUGAGCUUUAUAUUGAUGUUUCUUCAUGGCUCAAGUUGAAGGCAAGACAUUGGAGAAGUCUUCAAGUAGCUCCCCCAUACACAAUGUGGGAAGCUUUACUUUGCAUUCAUCUUCACUUGUACAUCAUCAUUAAUUACUUGAUGACAUCCAUUGAUGAGCACCAAGCUCAUGAGAAUUACCUAAACCACAUAAGAUAGACAACACAUAGUAUGGGUUAAUACACAAAGCGCAAUUGAUAAAUUCUUACCAUGCCACAAGAUCUCAUGUGGCACAUGAUAUGCGCUUGUGUGUUGUCCAUCUUAGAGGUCAAUCUUUGAUCUUCAUCUUGGUCAACAUUUAUCUUUGCUCCAUGAUUAAUAUUGAUGUCUUGAAGGCCCUAUUGAUAUCUUCACUAUGCUUCAUUUCUUCAAGACAUAAUAACCAAUAUCUUAAUUCAUCAUGACCAUAUCAAUUUUCUCCUUGAAUAUCAUACUGGACCUCAUUUGCUUGUUCUCAUGCUCCAACAUAGUAUCUUGAGAGGCACAAUGAAUUCUUCACUUGAAUUACUUGCUUCAUGACAUACUAAUCCAUGACUCAACAUAUGAGCUCAUAAUGAUCCUAUCUUCAAGCAUAUGUAGAAUUCUUCUCUUUAAUCAUUCUCUCAAGAUCUUGAUCCAUCAUGGUUCCACCCAUAAGCCUUGAUGCAUGCACAAAAAUAUGUAUAUGGCAUUCAUUUCAAAUCCAUUUUAUCUCCUUCUUGCAUCACCAUGGAAUAAACAUCCUUCAGUUCAUCCAAUAUUCUUCAUGCAUUGAAAAUGGAACUUUCCUUCAAAUGUAUAACUUAAUGCAGACAUUAGUCCAUUAGGAUUGUCAUUAAUUACCAAAACCACACAUGGGGACUACAUGUACUUACACAUGCAAGACGCUAUGUCUUGGAGAAGAUGGGUUUUGAAGAUCAUGAAAGCAUGGAGACAAAGAUAAUUCAACUAAGGACCCAUCACGGUUAUGAUUUUGCUAUAAAUCUAUACAAUUCUGUGAACUCAUCCAAUUUUGGUUGCCUGAAUUGGGAAGCCCUUUGCAAGGCGUAUGAUUUUCAUGAGGGUAUGCUUCUCACCUUCGAUCUUGGUGAUCCUAACAUCGACGAAAAGAAUAUGACCAUUUGGGUCCUUGUUGACACGCUUCCAAUUCUACUGAUGUGUGAGUUUCUCAAACAUAUUUAUUAAGUAAUUUAGAUUGUUUAUUUCAAAAUAUUUGACUGCUUAUUUCCAUUGACAGCUUAUUUUCAUUCUUCAAAAAAUAUACGGAAGAUGGUAGACAGAACCUACUACUACAAUGAUGAAGCACAAUUAACUUAUAAGGAGAAAGAUGGUCUUAUCGCAUUUUUUACUGAUCUUGAGAAUUACAAUAGCUAUUAUCGAACUCCUCAAAAUUAUGGUCAAUAUGUGCCACUAGUGCAUGCGGUGUGCUACGGUAACAUCAAUGGAUAUAGCAUGGUAAGAUUUUCUACUAUUACGACAUCCGUGCAUCUUUUGCAUAAAUUCUUCUAAAACUAAACUACAUUGCUAACUACAAAGUUAUUACUAUGUUUUUGAACAGAAAAUCCCAAUGGAUUGUGUGCCUCAUCUGAUGUUGCCAAGAGGUCGUGUUGAUGUUAUGAGCUUACGACCACCACAGCCAGGUCAGCCGCAGUAUCCACAUCACUCCUGUCCAUACCGGAUUUCUAAAAGCGAGGAAGCCAUGAUAAUAAAUGAUUGGAAAAAAUGUUUCGACCAUCGUAGAGAGCUACUUGGAAGCAACAUUGUGUGUAGGCCAAGACUUGGAGACAGGAUGAUCUUUGUUCUUCAUUAUGGAGAGUCCAUUUUCCUUAAUGAAGAGUCAAUGCCUAUCUUGUUUUAUGAUAUUUUACCUAAGAGAGGGUAGAGUAGGUCCUAUGAGAGGAGUAGGUCCUAGGUAGAAUGUGUUAUUAUGUGCUACAAUGUGUUAGAGUUGAUGAGGAGGAUGAGGAGUUGUGAUUAUGACUAGUGACCAACUUGUUAUAUAUAUGAUGUCUCAUUGACGAACAUUGUUCGGUGGUGAUGACUAGUGGUAAUGAAUAUGCUAUUUAAACAGACUAGUCCAUGAUGAUUGUUAUUAUAUAAAAGAUAUAUCUGUUUAAACAUGUACAACUCCAAAAUACGAAAAGAAAACAUAAAUUUUAGCAGUGGCGUGGGCCAAAAUAUUACCAGUACCGCUUUAUAGAGGCGCGCUAGUACUAUUUGAACAUACCAGUGGCGAUGGCCUAAACAAGCGCUACUGCUACAAAAUAGUUGUAGCGUCGUAGCAGUAACACGCCUGCCCGCGCUACUAAUAGCAAAAAAACAUCGCUACUUGUAAGGGUUUUCCUAGUAGUGACUGAGGACCCGUAGAACCAACAUCAGACCGCCCAAACAUCCAAAGGGGGUGGAACUGAGCACGUCGCGCCGGGGGGUGCCAAAUCCGCAGGAGGACGCGAGCAGAGGAGGCAACUCGCGCGACCGACCUGUAUCUGGCCGGAAGAGAUGAAAUGGCUGGCCACCGGCCUGGCCCCGCCCACACGUCGCCCGAGAAGCCAUAGGAGAUGGCACGACCACCACACCGAGGUUAGGGAAGCAGCCCCGAUGCCCAAAGCCAACCGCUGGCCCGAAUCUGGCGCGCCGGCCAAAUUCGCCGCCGAGGGGAGCGCUAGUGAGCGCCACGACCAGGCACCGACGAGCAGGUUGCGCGCCACCUCGAUGCCCCCUGCUCCCCCAGCGCUCACCGUGCCCUCAUCACCGAGCUCGGGUGAAGACGCCAUCGAGAUGACCCCGACCACCACGUGUCCGCCGCGGAUCUACCCAAGCAACCUUCGGAGGCAGGGGCUGUCGCCACCGCGACAAGGCCAGCGACAACGGCGGGGGAGAGGAGGCGCAGAGGAGGGGGCCGCCACCACCACGGCAAGGCCAGCGACAAUGGAGGAGGAGAGGAGGCGCAGGGGAGGGGGCCGCCGGUGAUGCAGGAAGUUCCCGCGAGCCGCCCGAGCGGAGCGACGCGGGGGAGGGAGGGGUCUGUAGUAUGGGGUCUGUUGCUCUACAUAUUAAUUAGUUAUUGAUUCAUGCAAUAUUUCAACUUUAUAAUCAUCACAUUAUAUAGCCAGGGCGUGUUGCCGUGCCGUACUACAGAAUUGAGGGCAGACCAUACAUUGUUGGGCUCCUAUAUCAAUGUUCACGGACUAGUCUGGACAAGUUCAAAUAUAAAUAGUGUGCCCAUUUUAAGGCCAACUCCACCGCGCGACCCCAUCAUGUUUGGCCCCGUCCGUUUGAGGUAGAACGGACGAAUAGCGCGGCCCAACGCGCGGCCCCAAACGGAUAAAUGUUCGGAAUCUGUCCGUUAUCGACCCAUCCCCGGCCCAAACUUGCGCCGAGUUUGGGGUGAAACGGACAUCGCGCGGACGGGCCCGCCGCAUGCCCUUGUCCCUCCGUGGCCCGUCCGUCAGGGGCACAAGUAGUCCCAUUCGAUUCCAAGGCCUCCACCCCCUCCCCCUCCCCGCCCCGCUGACGGCGCCGCCACUAUUCUCCGGCCGCCUUCUCCACGCAGCCUUGGCCGUCCAUAGGCAACCACGCCUCGACAUGGCCGCCACCACGCGCGCGCUUUCACCAUAGUUUAGGCCGUCGAUUGGAGGAGGUUUGGCCGUCGCCGUCGUAGCCGGCGGCAGAGGGAAUACGACCGCGGGCGACGUGCCACGGUGGCCACGACAGCUUCCGACGAGGGCUCCAGAGCGGCCAGUAGACGGACGCCGACCACACCUGCGUCGAGGUGAUCAUCUCGACCACUUUGCCACCAUGACCGCAAGGUGUUCGACACUUCUCCCACAAAGGUACGGACAGUGGUGAUGAGUUUUUCUUCCACCACUUCAUUUGUUCAUCGGACGAUUCGUCGUUGGAUGAUGAAAAUCUUGUGGUGGCUGCAUUGGUCGUUCACGACCAAAUUCAAUGACAGCUUCCUCGGUAGAGAGGGCCAGUCCCUGGCCGUGCUCCGAACCUGAACCACAACAGGGAGAGAGGCCAUGCCCUACUCUAUGCCGAUUACUUUGCGAACACCCCGCUCUUCAAAGUGGAUAAAUUCCGUCGCCGUUUUCGGAUGGCAAGGCAUGUGUUUAAUCGUAUCCGAGAGGGUGUGGUUGCUCAUGACCCAUACUUCGAGUGCAAGACGGAUGCCCUUGGCAAGCUUGGAUUCUCCUCUUACCAGAAAUGCACUGCGGCCAUCCGCAUGGUUGCAUAUGGAAUUCCAGGCAAUCUGGUGGAUCAGUAUGUGCUAUGAGUGAGACAACAUGUCAGAUGUCAAUGUACAAGUUCUGCCAGUCUGUGAUCGAGGUGUUUGGCCCUGAGUACUUGAGGCAGCCAAUUGUCGCUGAUACAGAGAGAUUGUUGACGACCAACGCAGCUAGAGGCUUUCCAGGCAUGCUUGGCAGUAUAGAUUGUAUGCACUGGGAGUAGAAGAACUGUCCAUUUGCUUGGCAGGGCCAGUACAAGGGGCAUGUCAAAGCUUGCACUGUCAUAUUAGAAGCGGUGGCUUCACAAGAUCUUUGGAUAUGGCAUUCUUUCUUCGGCAUGGCAGGUUCUCACAAUGAUAUCAACGUGCUGCAGUGUUCUCUAGUCUUUAAAAGGCUUGUAGAAGGCCACUCCCCACCUGUCAACUUUGAGAUCAACGGCCACCAGUACAACAAGGGAUACUACCUAGCUGAUGGUAUAUAUCCUCAAUGGUCAACUUUUGUGAAGACAAUCUCGAAGCCCCAAGGUGAGAAGAGAAAGAGAUUUGCCCAAAUGCAAGAGAGUGCUAGAAAGGAUGUGGAACGUGCUUUUGGUGUGCUUCAAUCCUGAUGGGGCAUCGUUCGAUACCCUGCACUGUCACGGGAUGAAAGGAAGCUUUGGGAGGUGAUGACUGCUUGUGUGAUCAUGCACAACAUGAUCGUCGAGGACGAGCGUGAUGAUAGUAUUUUCGACCAAGGAUUUGAUUAUCAAGGUGACAAUGUUGAGCCCCUGCACCAAGAACAGACAACGUUUGAUCAGUUUGUCCAGUUCCAUCAUGAGCUGCGUGAUUGGCACACUCAUGUGGAUCUUCAAAAUGACUUGGUUGAGCACGUGUGUGGUCAUAUUGGCAACCAAUAGAUGUAUUGGUUCAUUUUAUGUUCAUUCAAGACAAUUUCGAUUUGGUUGUAAAACUAUUUUUAUUAGAGACAACUUCGAUUGGGUUGUAAAACUAUUUUAAUUUUUAAACAAUUAAUAUUUGAACGUGCAAACUUGUUUUCAUAUGAAAAUAUGGGCAUUUUAGGCCCUGGUGGACGGGAUGGGGCAAACGGAUGCGGCUGCGCGCUAGGCGCACGGCCACCGCAUCCCAGGACAGGCCCGGACACGACCCCAUCGCCCUACCCAAAGGGACAGAAUCCGGCCAAAGCGGACGUCCGUUUGGGGUCGCGCGGUGGAGUUGGCCUAAGAGUCGGCAUUGGUAUUGGCAUUGGAGAAGUGCUCAUACUCCUUCCUUGAUUAAUAGUAAAAUUCAUCGGUGGUCCCUCAACUUGCGUCGCGCGGUCACUUUGGUCACUGUACAAAAGAACUCAUGCAAUACGGUCACUGUGUACGGCGAACAGUGAAAAUACGGUCACUGUGCGCUGUAGACGCAACGUACGCCGCAAUUUUGACCAGUCCACGGGCUCCACGUAGGCGGGCAGAGGAUUUACGUUUAAGUGCCCAUUUGCGGGAGGUCGUUUUUGUAAAAAAGCCGUUUAGAUAGAAAUCCCCAAUUCUCCCCUCCAAAUCCCUAGUUCUCGCCGCCGCCGCACCCAUCCUGCCCUCUCGCCGUCGCGCGCCCAUCCUGCCCUCUCGCCGCCGCGCACCCAUCCUGCCCUCUCACCGCCGCGCGCCCAUCCUGCCCUCGCCUCCGACGACCACUGCGCCAUGUCUUCUGCUAGUUCUGCCCUGUCUGGUCUCCGCGGCCGGACAGUGGUGGUGCCACUCAUCCCAUGUCCUCGCUGCCAGGCGACAGUGAGGUACUACGUUUCGAACACAAAGGAUCACGAGGGCUGGGUGUUCUACAGAUGUCCCAAUCACUCUGUAAGUAACACAGAGGAUCAGUUGAUUUUGUUCUUGGCAGCAGUUUUGCCCUUUUUUGGUCAAAGUUUGAUUUUUUGCUGUUGGUUUGCAGGCUACUGGGUGUGAUUUCUGGUUUUGGGAGAUGGAAUAUGUUGCGUACCUAGUAGAUGCUCAUUUCUUGGUUGGGAACCAAGCUGUGGAUGUUGUUGGAGCAACAGAGGAGAGGAGGGAAUAACUCAUUAGGGCUAGGAAUGAGAGGAGAAGGAUUGCAGCUCAAGUGGCAACUAGUAGAGCUGCUUUGGCAAGGCCUGGCUCUCUGCAGCAGAAUAUGAGCAGGCACCAAGAAAGUGCAUUGAUUGGAUUAGGUGCAGAGAUCUUGGUGCUGCUAAAGCUUCUGCUAGGUAGUGUGAUGUUGUUGUGUGUCCUCUGUGUUCUUCUGUUGAUGAAGAAGUGAGGACAAGUGCUCUCUGCAUUAGAAGAUGUGAUGAAGGAGUACUAUAGAAGAAGAAGAAGUGAUGAAGACAAGUGCUCAUUUUGGUAGUGGAGAAGUGAAGAACAGCUUCAGUAGUUUAGCAUGUUAAGUAAUUUCACUAGUUCAAUGUUAGGAAAUGGCUAUGAAGUUAUCUUGGUUGUACCAAAUGUUAUGGUUGUCAAGGCCAGAAAUGUAUGAAGUGAUCUAUAUAUCUAUCUUUAAUGGAAACAUUGUCUCUGUAUUCUGUUAUCUUUCUGACAUGAUAAUUGUGAAAUGAGUUGUUGUGUAAUGUUAUCAUAUCAUUUUUAUGAAAUGAAAAUAAUGGCAGCCAAGAUGUAAUUUGGAAGCAGUAUUGACAUCAACAAUAGAAUGACAACAAAUGAGUAGACAGACAAGACAGUUUUGAUAACAAAAUAUAGAUUCUGUACUGCAUCUUCAUUACCACUACUCAAAAUAGAGUACCAUAAGAUCAUCUAAAGAUAAAAAGUCUCAUAGAUCAUCUAAAGAUAAAAAGAAAGGGAAACACAAUCAUAUUUUACAUUGCUGAAGGAGUACUCUUGCUAAAACAAGAUAAGCAGUCUCGUAGAUCAUCUAAAGACGUCAAACAUGCUUGAUCUUUCUGGCACAUGCCCAGCUCCCUCCAUGUUUCUUUGUGCUUGUUUCCUCAGCUGCUCCUUCUUUGCUGCAAUGGAUUGUCUCUCUGCUUGUUUCUUUGCAGCAAGGGCUUGUUUCUCUUCCUGCUUCUUUGCUAGGAGUGCUUGUCUCUCUGAUUCCUUCUGUGCAGCAAUGGCUUUCUUCUCUUCUAGUUUCUUUGCAGCAGCAGCCUCCUUUUGUGCCUUCUUCUCAGCAGCCAGUUUCUCCUUCCUCUCAGUAGAAAGCUCUCUUUGUGUCUCCACUAUUAUCUGCCUUGUCUCUGCUCUUGCUUGCCUCAGGAUGGCCAUUGUUUCCUUCUUCUAUGCAGCUGCCUCUCUCUUCUUCUCAGCUUCUAUAGCCUUCUUUUCUGCUUUCUCAUGCCUUCUUCUAGCAGCCUCUUCUGCUUUCUUCAACUCUGCUUCUAUCCUUGCCUCUAGUAUAUCUUGUUUCUUGUCUUGAAGUUCCUUCUCUCUUUGCUGCUUCAUUGUCAACAUCUUCUUAGCUAGCUCUCCCUGCCUGAUUGUGUUAGUGCUUGUCUGGGCUUGGUUCAACAUUGCUUGUGCAUUUGUUAAGAAUGUUGAUUCUGGGAUUGGUGUGUGCUGAAGCACUCUAGGCAAAGGCCUCUGUAGAUAGACAUGUCAAGUGUCAACAGGACAUGUCAAGUGUCAACAAAUGGAAACAGAGCAAGUGAGCAAAAUUACCUGCUGAAGCAUGUGAUCCACCAUAAGAUCUUGUACUACUGUACUGGUCUCUGCACUUGUAUUGGCCUGCUGCUCCAUAUUGGCUUGUUCUAGAGGUGGCUAUUGCUCCAUAUUGGCUUGUGAAGUUUCCAAAUUGUCAUCAUGUUGGGGUGGAGGAGCUUGUGCAUUGGGAGGUGGUAGACCAGCUUUCAUAUAUUUGCAUCCCUUGAGAUUGUGGUCAGGCUCACCACAGUAACUGCAGUGCAUGAUUACACCAUGCCUUGACAUCAUCCUCCCUCCAUUACUACAAAUAAUCUCUUCUGGUCCCUUCCUUCUGCUUUUGCAAGGCCUUCCAACAUGCUUCUUAUAGUCUGGUGGAUUAAUUACAGACCCAUUCAUCUUCUCCCACUCAGUGAUGUCCUUGCAAGGGUAGAUGAUGUUGCUAUAAGCCUUCUUGAACAUGGACACUGAGUAGCAUUGAUCCACCAAGGUUAGUGGAUCUACUCUCUCAUUCCUACAACAUGCUAUAACAUGUAUGCAAGUCACUCCACUUUUUUGCCAUCUCAUACAGUUGCAGGACUUGUUGUGCCAGUCUACUAUGUAAUAUGUUCCUCUAUCCCCCACUUGAAACACACCAUCUCCUGAUUCAUACACAUAGCAUGUGUUGGCUAGCUCUGUCAGCUUCUCAACUAGUUUCUUGAUCUUAGGGCACAUUACUCCUUGCAUCUUCUCACCCUCACAAUGCUUAGUGUAGUGCCUUGCAGUCCACUGUUGCUUGAUCCUCUCAAACAUUGAAAGAAUUGGCAACUCUCUUGCCUCCAAGAUAUAUCUGCACAAACAUAGCAUGUUAUGUUAACAACAGUGAUAGGAAAGCAUUUCAUCUUUUGUUAAAAUAGUGAGAUGAAAGCAUUGGAACUUACUUGUUGAACACCUCACACAAAUUAUUGAGCAGAAUAUCACACUUAGGUAUGUCACUUUGGAAAGCCCUCACACAAGUGUUUGGCUCCAACUCUUUCAACCAGGUGUAUGCACCCUCAUUCAGCACCUUCAUCUCAAGCAUGUACUGCUCAUACUUAAUAACUGUUGUGCUCCUAGCUAUCUUCCACAACUGAUUCUUCAAAGCAUCACCUUUGUACAGUUGUUGGAAAUUCUUCCACAUAUGCCUGACACAGAACCUAUGUUCUGACUCAGGGAAUACUUCAGUCACAGCAUUUAUCAGGCCCUACAAAACAACAUAGACCAAUGAACAAAGUGUUAAACAAGUGUUCUCAAGUAGAUUAAUCUAAUUAGACCAUGGGGAUGUGUUAAAAAAGUGUUAAACAAGUGUUCUCAAGUGCAUAUACCUUCUGCUUGUCUGACAUUACUGUCCAUGGGGAUGUGUUGAUAAUAGCAAGAUCACUCUUCAGCCUCUCAAGAAACCAAACCCAGUUAGGCUUGUCCUCCACUUCCACAACACCUAUGGCUAUGGGGAAUAUGCAAUUAUUUGGAUCUAUUCCUACUGCAACCAGCAACUGCCCUCUGUAUCUUGUUUUAAUAUGGCAGCCAUCUAUGAAGAUCAUAGGCCUGCAACCUUGAAGAUAGCCUCUCUUGCAUGCAUCAAGGCACAUGUAGGCCUUGUUGAAUCUAGCUUCAUUAUCCAGUGCAAGGAAAAAUGAGCUACCAGGAUUACUUCUCCUUAUCUCAUUUCCAUAAUCCCACAACAGCUUGUACUGCCCUUCUUCAUCGCCAUGAAUUAUUUUCAUAGCCAGCCUUCUUGCCCUCUGAAGCUUGGACCUAGUUGGUGUCAUGUGCCAUUCCUUUUGAACAACCCUUGAGAAGUUUCUAAGAUUCAUAUCCUGAUCAGCCCUGAAACUCUCAAGGUAUUUCCUAGCUAGAAAAGGUGUUGUGAAAGCCUUGAUCUUCCAUUUUUCGCAGCAACUAUGUUCUUCAACAUACUUCUUUACCAUGAAACAUUUGGUUCUGCUGUCAUAAGAAGCCCACAAGUACCAGGUACAAUCUUCAUCACAGACUGCUUUGACUCUCUUCCUGUCAUUCACUGGUAACUUGACAUCAACUCUAUUCUUGCAGCUGUAUUCCUUAAUUGCUUUCCUAAGCAAAUCAACAUUUUCAAACACUUGUCCAACAUGGAAUUUUGGACAAGUCAGAUCCUCCUUUCUAAAUGCUCUAAAUUUGGUUUGCAUUUCAUCAUCUGAAUCAGGUGCCCAAAGAUCUUCACCUUCAGAUUCAUAAUAUGACAUGUUUUCUUCCUUUCCUUCCCCUACAACUCCUUUAUCCUUUGCUGUUGUUUUCUGCUUCACCUUCUCCUUCCUUUGAACUGGUUCAUCCUCAUCCACAUUGUCAGCAUAAAGGUCAUCAUCAUCAUCACUGAUUUCAAAGUCACUAUCUACCAUGUCACUAGGAUCAAAAUCACUGUCAUCUGAGUCACUAUCUGUUCCUACAUUGCCUUCAAAACAUCUCUUCUUUGCUCUGGUUCUCUUCAAUUGAUGUGCUUCUGCAUCUUCAUCUACUGCAUGUUGAUCUGUAUCUUUUUCUUGCUCUACUUGCUCUGCAUCUUCAUUUGGCUCUGCUUCUCCUUCUUGGCCUACAUGCUCUGCAUCUUCAUGUUGCUGUACAUCAUCAUGUUGCCCUGCUUGUCCUUGUUGCUCUGCAUUCUCCUCUGCUCCUUCACCAAAUGUGCACUGCCUUCUUACAAACAUGAAUGGAUUGCCAUCUUCAUGUGGCACAUUGUUUGGAUACACAACCUGAAUUGGUAUAGGGCAGUCUUCUUCAGAAUUUGCAGGCUUGCUACCAUGAGGAUUAGUACCAUCUUUUGAAGGGCUAAACACUGGUGGAAGUUCAGCCCUUGGAAAUUGGAGCACAUCAUCAACAACCUUCUUAGUAAUCAAGGUGUCAUCAUGAUCAAGAUAAAUACUGAAGAAAUGAUGCCCAAUAGACAGAAAGGUCAUCAUUUGAUCAGUAUCUGCCUCAGAUCUGAUCUGUCUCAAAGAAUUCUGAGUAAUGUCAAGUAUUGGGAUUUGAUCAUAUGCCUUCAACCUGCCUGCCAUCUCCCAUCCAAUCUCUUCUACUAUAUGUUCCACCAUUAUUGGAGACCAGGUGAGCUUAUCCAAACUGUCAUACCAAACUGUAUGCUCAUCAACAUAAGCCCUGUUGCUUCCUUCACCCAUGAAAAAACCACCAUGAUGAAACAGCACUGAGAAUUUCUCACUUCUUGCUCCUGCAAAAACAAAGCAUAAUUGAUCACAUCAAAAUCGAACAAGUAAUGACCUUUUUGAACAGUACAACACUAGAAAUCCCCAAUGUUCUCCAUACACCAAAGCUCCAAAACAUAUGCCUAUUCGAACAAAGGUGCACAUACGGGUACAACUGCCAGAAACCUAAGCCUAUUACAUGUGGAAUUGAUGAAAAUUAGACCCUUUCGACAAGAACCUAAAACCCUAUCAGAAAUCCUAUCAGACAAAUUGGGUUCGAAAACCCUAAACCUAAAUUGCCAUCCACGCGACGAAUACUAGCACAUAUCAUAGGCGAACACAAUGCCAGCCCUAUCAAACAAGAAUCGAAGAGAAAUAAGAGGAUUUACGGCAGGAAUCAUCACUUACUGUAAAACAGGGGCAGGGGCACCGUCGGGGCGACGAACAGGAGACAUGGCGGCGGCGCCUCCUCUUCACCACCGCGAGAAGAAACCCCUCCGCGCCGACCACGACGACGACCAUGCCGCACCUCCGUCGCCUUCUCCGCCGGUUUGAUCGUCUCGAACAGGGGAGGUGGAGAGACAGGGGAGGUGGAGACGGGGGAGGACUGGGGGAUCUGUCUGAUAACUUGGGGGGUGGGCUGCAAAUAUGUCAUCGGGUCGCUCCUCCUCGCGACACCUGGCGCGCGGACUGGGAGCCGGACGGUCAACAGGUGGUCAACAGGCGGCAUACGUUGCGUCUACAGCGCACAGUGACCGUAUUUUCACUGUUCGCCGUACACAGUGACCGUAUUGCGUGAGUUCUUUUGUACAGUGACCAAAGUGACCGGGCGACGCAAGUCGAGGGACCACCGAUGAAUUUUACUCUACGAUGCACCGAAACGAGGAGACAGGAGCCUCUGACUGCUGCACGCCAGAUCGAUCCGACGGGGGCAGAAAGUCAAUGCUGCGCGUGAAGCACGCCGCGAAACUUUGAACAGUCACCCGCCGCGCGCGCCCUAGUAACUAAAAUCAAAACCACACCCCCGUCUCAAGAAAACCCCAUCAAUCCAAAAUGACAUUGCACGACGGUGAUGCUAGAACACGAGCAGCUGUCGCGAACAGACACUGACACGCGGGGCGCCAGCGGGUGAUCGAACCAACCGAAUGACCCGGAACCCAUGCAUGGGUAGCAUCAUCUUGUUGCCACCCAAGUCAAAACCAGCAGCUCGCUCGCUCGCUGCGUGUGCAUGCAGCGGCAGCGUUUGCCGAUUUCGCGGCGCCGCCUGCACGUUUGUUCAGGGAGAGGGCGGAUCCCGAGGCCCGCGGCCCGCGCGCGAAUUCUGACUUGUCAGUGAGACACUGUUGGUUGGUGUCAUUGCUGCCGUGGUUUUACCCGCGCCACGGCACGUACGGCCGGCGCCCGGCGGUGUGAUCGUGAAGGAGGAAGUAGCCUUCACUACACGCUGCAGUUCUGACGACACGCAUCAAUUUCAACCAGUUGAUUCGGUUUUAUACUUAGAUGCUUGCAUGCAUGAUCAUAUAUAUUUCGAAAGAACAAAUAGGGAUCGAAGGAUAAGAAUCAAUCCCUGACCGACGGGCGUGAAAGUCUCUUAGGCUGCGUUUGGCAGCAAAGUUUUUUCAAAGUUUUCUGAUAAUACUGCGGUUUCUGAAAAAAACCAUGGUUUUGAAUACUUUGCUGCGUUUGGCAUCAGAAAAAACUGAAGUUUUGUAAACCACAAUAUGCCAGAAACCAUGGUAUUUUUGCGGUUUCUGGAAAAGAGGUCCCGACCUCUUUUUUAAAAACAGAACGGAGAGAAAUCGUCGAGAGAUCGCAGUUGACCUUGUCGUCUACGUCGAGAUAAGAAUACCAGCUGCGAUCCGAUCCUAUUUUCCCUCUUUCUGUUAUAUGGAAACCCCUGGUUCUAGCCAAUCCCAUCCUAUUUACGAGUAGUAGGUCUCUCAGGUUCUUCUUCCAGCCGGCGUCCCGUGCAAGUCCCGUCUCUUCUCUGCAGCGCCAUGAGCGAAUCAAGCGGAAUAUAUAUAGGUGGACUAUUUGAAACCUUCAAUGCCAGCAGCCCAAGCAUGUAGGUGCAUCAAGGGUAGCCUACAGUUCCUAGCAUCUAGGUCCGGCGGAUGUGUGCAUGGCAGCUGCAUGCAGCCAGCCGCCGUUUGCAGCCGCUAAUUACUCUCAGUCAAUCAAUCAUCCACACUAAAAUACUUGGUCAAAACUUUGGUAAAACAGCACCAACCAAACACAUGUAAAACUGAGAAAAACAUUGUUUUAAAAAACUGUAGUAUUCAAUGCCCACCCAGGAGAAUACCCCGGUUUUCAAUUACGACAGUUUUAAAAAUACUUUGCUACCAAACUAAGCCUUAGUAGUCAGAGGCAUGAAAAGGCAGUUCUAGUCUGUGUGACUGAAAAUUUGUAUAGCCAUGGAAAAGUAGGCACUAGCAAAUGUCCCAUACAAAAGCGGAAUCUAUCCACCCGUCCAUCAUCAGCAUGUUUUUUUUUUGAUUCACCAUCAUCAGCAUGUGUCUUAAAGCUGGAGAACUAACAUGCGGAAAAGCCCACAAUAACAGAGUCAAAUGCAACACACCACGCAGAAAAAGAGAGAGCAAAACGCAAUAUCGCGAAACUUGCAAGCUACUAACCGACUAAGGCUGGUCAUAGUGGGGAGUAACUUAGACUAGUGUCAUGCAUAUGACACUAGUCUAAGUUACUACCUUCAUAAUGCAAAGUAACAUAAUAGUAGUAUCAUAGAUGGCUUCAUUUACUAGCUCAUAGACUCAUCUUGUCUUGGAAAACGCUAUGUUACAGUAACAUAUUAUGUUACCACCUCUUAUUAAUUACUUGCCACAUGAGCAGAAUUUUCUCGAAGAGUGCUAUGUUACUAGCUAAGUUACUCUCACUAUGACCAGCCUAAUCAAUCAUGAACCUCCCCCAAACUUGAAAAACAACGAGGCGUACGUGCCUAGUACGUACUCGAUCGGUUGAUGAAUGAACAGUCAAGAGUGAAGGCCGCACGUUAAACGCACGCCAGAGGCCAAACCAGAGACACCAAAGAAAGAAAAAGGGGCACUAUGUUCGCUCCAUAAAUGAUUCUUCCAAGGACGAGCUAUAAUGCACCAAACAAAAUCUGCUCGCAACAGUUUCAUCCUUGAUGCCGUGCGUGCGUGGAUCCUCGUAGGGCUCUCUAAACGAGCAAUGCAGCACUGUGCUAAUACUGUGGCGGCAGGACAUUAACCAAAGACACAAAAAGAUAAACAUGCAUUGCAAUGAGAGUACAUGUACAACUAGUAGCUUGAAACAAAAUGCCAGCAGUAGGUGGAGUACAAGCCUUGCGCAUUGCUGCCGUUUGCUUUCUGAAGCGGCAUGCCUGGCCGGCGUUAAUUUGCGGCAGCAGCACUGGAUUAGUACUACAAAUAGGUGCCCAGUUAGUACAGUACGUACGUGGUUAUUGUUGUUAGUAAUUCCUCAAAAAAAUUACUCCCUCCGUUCCAAAAUAGAUGACCCAACUUUAUAUUAACUUUAGUACAAAGUUGAGUCAUCUAUUUUGGAACGGAGGGAGUACAUGUUAAUUAGCCAGAGAGAUCUGAUAUCUCCAAUAUCGUCGGAGCACAUCAAACCGGAUACUGAUAUACACAUGCCCGUGCAUUUUGUUCUUCAAAGCUUUACCAAAUCGAGAACUAGCUACAGACCAACCUAAACAAAUCUCAGAGAGAGAGAGAGAGAGAGAGAGAGAGAGAGAGAGAUAACAAAUAGUAAGGGCAGCCAUUGCCAUGGAGAGGGAAGCUAAAGAAAGGUAGUUGAACUUGAGAGAAAAUUAAUGCCUGGCUUUCCCGUGUAUGCCGCCGCCGACCGACCUCUACACCACUAGUAACAGCUUCUUCUUCUUGCUGCACCCCUCCGCUUCCUGGCCUUGGCCGCCCGUCCAGCUCCCCCGCCGCAUCCUACCACAUGCACCGGCCGGGCAAGAAGCCGGACGCAUCACCGCCGAGCCAAACGCGCGCCCCCACGCCGCCGUUGCGAGGGACGCGCCUCUUCCCCGCGCGUGCCCAUGUCGCUCGCUGCCGGCCGGGCAAGCUACGAACUCUCUCAGAAACAGUAUCAAAGCGACAGAUUGGAGGCGAGAGUGAGAGGAGCGUCGGGGGGAAGACGAAGAAGCAGGAGAGGAGGAGGCUUCUCCUUUUGUGUGGGGGGUGCUGACCCUCGAUCGGAAUAUUUGGGGAGGCCUUUAAAGACAGGAAAGCCGAAGAGGCGCCGGCUCAGGAGGCCGCGCUCGCUCGCUCCGUCUCGGCGCG